AUUGGAGUUGAUGCUGGGCCCCAGCUCCCCUCCCAGUCACCACAAACUGUUGCACCUGCACUGCUCAGAAAUGCAGAUGGCUGCAACCAGCAAGCCUGAGUUCAGCUUUGCAGGGCCUGAGGCAGUGAGGUGUCCUUGAUUGCCAGGCCUGGAGAGGAAUUGUUGAGUCUGCCCCAAAUGGGAAAGCAGCAGCUCACAUUGUGUGUGGAGUUUGAAGUUACACACUAAAGAACUGCAGGAUUACAAAUAUAUUAAAAGUAUACAAGCUAAAAUCCUCAGGCAUCACCAUCCUUGUGAUAACACCUGGACAACUUUAAACCAGAAGAUUUCUACACACAUUGCAUGGCUGGCAAAUCAUCCUCUGUCUGCUGGAAACCAACCUUUGGGGAAGGGAAGACAGACCCAAGUCAGAAAAGCUGCAUUCCCCUCAAGAGCCCACUGUCUGGAAAUGGAAUCUUCAAGCAGACUGAAGUUCAUCCUCUGUGGCUCAGACUCUGAAAAGUGACGACAUGCAGGUAAAACAUCUUUUGGGCAAGUGCCUGCACAGGGGUGAAUUCAACACCUCCCACUCCCUGGCAGAACUUGUUUAUUAGGAGACUUGUUUAUUCUGAGAGUUAGGAGGAGGAGGAGAAUCAGAAUUUUCCUGUCUGCACCUCUCAGAGCCAGAGAAAUGGAUGGUGCUGGAUGGAACAUUUGGUUCCUGUGAGGCGCUGACACCGCCUCGGUGGCGAUACGAGACACCAGGAAUGGAAAUGCACUUCUCCAGGAGAGGGAAAAGCUUGUGAGCUCAGACUUGACAAUAAUUCACCUGGCUGCGUGUCUGGCCCUGAGCCCCAGGAUCCCUUCCCAGCUCUGCUUUGCAUUUUGCAAAUUGUUUCAAGAACUGCCCGGUUUUCAUGGGCCUGUCCGGGGUGAUGGAUGGCUGGGGACGCCCAGCGAGGAUAUCUGUCUCCAGCAGGGCUCUGUGAGUCAGCUACCCCAUGUCUAGCUGCUACUUUUCUGCCUUAAAAGCCUCAAUAUUCUCCACUCAGCUCACCUUCCUGCUCUUUGCUGGUCUCCAGAUCCAUUAGUCUGUCUGGGCUGGUGCCCAUUAAACUGCUGAACGUGGGCUACUCCCAGCAAUCUUAUCAGAGCUGCUGCUAUUAAAGGCAGAAAUAGGAAGAAACUGAGUCACCAGUGCAGGCAGUCUGGCACUUGGAUUUAGACAGAAGUUUUGUCAAGGCUUGUUCUUGUUUGUGGAGAGCCACAGAAGCUGCUGUGGACAAUAUUUGAUUGCUGUGCCAGUGAUGAUUAAUAAAUAGUUGGCUAAUUGAAUCC